GCUCUGUUGGGUGCAUGCCAGGGCAGAGGUCAAGGAAAAGCCACCGAUAGAGACAAAGAACAGCUUGACCAAGGCUGAAAAUUGGCACAAAGGUACAUACCUAGAAAUGGGAUUGCUGGGUCACAUGAUGGCAGAGUUGUAGAGCAGAGGUGUGGCAUUGAUGAGAAUGCUUCUGGCUGAGGACGGACCCCAUGGAGCACACCUGACCAAGGGCCCAGCUGCUGCACUUGAAAUCCG